UAGACGCCAAGUGCGUGGAUGGUCUAAGGAGACUUUAAAAUGUCUGUUUUCUUUGUUUUUAUUUAAUUACGAGCAUAUUUGUUUUGGGGGGUAAGGGACACUGCAUAAUUUAGUAUCUAACCGUUGGAACACUUUGAUCUUUUGAGACCCAAUUCCUGUAGUUAUUUGUCACCUUUUGACCAGAAGUCCAAGUUGAUAUGAGCUGAUUUGGAGAUCUAUUCAAUCUUCUAGAAAAUAGGAUCUGAGUUUCUAAAGCUGUUAUUGGACCUGAACCUCACAUUCAGCCAUUGGAUUCUCUUUAGUUUUUUGAAAUUUUAUUCAUCCGUGUUGGUAAUUCUAGGAACCCUUGGUGGUGAUUCCAAGGUUGAGGUACUGGUGGUGAUUCCAUACCUGCAGAUCAGAAACAUAGCCUCCUCACUUGAGGAGCUCAAAAGGUUGAGGACUAAUAUCAGUGAGAGUUCCAAUAUGGCAAUGGAACGAUUGAAAACCUUGGAAGAAGCUGCAUUCAAAUUUGAUAAAGUGCUUCCCAAGCAUCUUAACAAGGAAGCGAUCUGGAGUAGAUAUCUCAUCAAGUGACCGAUCCACUGCAUCAUUACUGUGUGAUUGGGCAGUCCUGGGAGGAAACAUGACUAAGUUGGGAACCCAGAAUCAUGAGAUGGCAAGUAAUUUUAAUAUUGAUCCACAUAAGCUAGAAGAAAGAAGUUAAAAAUCAAAGGUGCUGCACCUAAUAAACUAAUCCGGACUUCUAA